ACGAGAAAGUCUCCGCAAGGGGAUGAGUAAAGUGGCGUACGGGUGAGUAACACGUAGCUAACCUGCCCUCGAGUGGGGAAUAACCUGGGGAAACUCGGGCUAAUACCGCAUAACAUCCGGGUAGCAUAAGUUGUCCGGAGCAAGGGUCCGCAAGGAUCGCUCGGGGAGGGGGCUGCGGCCGAUUAGCUAGUUGGUGAGGUAAUGGCCCACCAAGGCGAUGAUCGGUAGCCGGCCUGAGAGGGCGCACGGCCACACUGGCACUGAAACACGGGCCAGACUCCUACGGGAGGCAGCAGUGGGGAAUUUUGCACAAUGCCCGAAAGGGUGAUGCAGCAACGCCGCGUGAGGGAUGAAGGUCUUCGGA
rnacentral:rRNA from 1 species